rnacentral:rRNA from 1 species
GAACCUGCGGAGGGAUCAUUACCGAGUUUACAACUCCCAAACCCAAUGUGAACGUUACCAAACUGUUGCCUCGGCGGGAUCUCUGCCCCGGGUGCGUCGCAGCCCCGGACCAAGGCGCCCGCCGGAGGACCAACCAAAACUCUUUUUGUAUACCCCCUCGCGGGUUUUUUUAUAAUCUGAGCCUUCUCGGCGCCUCUCGUAGGCGUUUCGAAAAUGAAUCAAAACUUUCAACAACGGAUCUCUUGGUUCUGGCAUCGAUGAAGAACGCAGCGAAAUGCGAUAAGUAAUGUGAAUUGCAGAAUUCAGUGAAUCAUCGAAUCUUUGAACGCACAUUGCGCCCGCCAGUAUUCUGGCGGGCAUGCCUGUCCGAGCGUCAUUUCAACCCUCGAACCCCUCCGGGGGGUCGGCGUUGGGGAUCGGCCCUGCCUCUUUUUGGCGGUGGCCGUCUCCGAAAUACAGUGGCGGUCUCGCCGCAGCCUCUCCUGCGCAGUAGUUUGCACACUCGCAUCGGGAGCGCGGCGCGUCCACAGCCGUUAAACACCCAACUUCUGAAAUGUUGACCUCGGAUCAGGUAGGAAUACCCGCUGAACUUAAGCAUAUCAAUAAG